CAGCAGCCGCGGUAAUACGGAGGGUGCAAGCGUUAAUCGGAAUUACUGGGCGUAAAGCGUGCGUAGGCGGUUUGUUAAGUCUGUUGUGAAAUCCCCGGGCUCAACCUGGGAAUGGCAAUGGAUACUGGCUCGCUAGAGUGUGUCAGAGGAUGGUGGAAUUCCCGGUGUAGCGGUGAAAUGCGUAGAGAUCGGGAGGAACAUCAGUGGCGAAGGCGGCCAUCUGGGACAACACUGACGCUGAGGCACGAAAGCGUGGGGAGCAAACAGGAUUAGAUACCCGCGUAGUCCCUGUCUCUUAUAC
rnacentral:rRNA from 1 species